UUAUCACAUCCGCGUGUUUAUACCAUACGUUACACAUACCUUUAUAUAAGGUUUAACUCAUACAUUAAUCUGUCCCGUCUAGGGUUUUAAUUUUCUUAAACCUCUAGGGUAAAUUUUUUUACUCUAGCCAAAUUUUGGACCAUUUUUUUUUAAAGAAAAAAACCUGGCCCGAAUGAGAAUCGAACACGGAAUCUCCGUGUGGAAAGCAACGUUCAUAGCCACUGCACCACACAAUCUUCUAACGUAAGAGAAUUACGUAGCCAAUGUGAUUGAUUUUAACGAGUAUAUAACACAUGCGACCAAGUCGCAUCGUGACUAUGUACAAUAACAUUCAUGCAUCUAAACCAUACAAACAC